AAGGGCACCACAAGAACGCGUGGAGCAUGUGGCUUAAUUUGACUCAACGCGGGAAAUCUUACCGGGUCCGGACACACUGAGGAUUGACAGAUAUACGCUGCGUUGCUGCACCUUCGGGUGUGCACGUGGCUCAAAGAUGCUAGUUCUUUCAUGAUUAUGUGAUAGGUGGUGCAUGGCCGUUCUUAGUUCGUGGAGUGAUCUGUCUGCUUAAUUGCGUAUCAAUAAUAGAGACCUAGUAUACGCGUAUUACUCAUGUGGUAGUGACCCCCUUCUCAUGGAGGCGCGGGUCGCACAUACCGUAUACGCACUGGUCUCAGAUAGCAACGAACGUGACCG
rnacentral:rRNA from 1 species